CAGGCCGUUUCCGGUGGAGCUGUCGCCUAGCCGCUAUCGCAGAGUGGAGCGGGGCUGGGAGCAAAGCGCUGAGGGAGCUCGGUACGCCGCCGCCUCGCACCCGCAGCCUCGCGCCCGCCGCCGCCCGUCCCCAGAGAACCAUGGAGUCUGGCAGUACCGCCGCCAGUGAGGAGGCACGCAGCCUUCGAGAAUGUGAGCUCUACGUCCAGAAGCAUAACAUUCAAGCGCUGCUCAAAGAUUCUAUUGUGCAGUUGUGCACUGCUCGACCUGAGAGACCCAUGGCAUUCCUCAGGGAAUACUUUGAGAGGUUGGAGAAGGUAAAAAUAAAUGUGGGGAGAUGAUGAGGUGAUUGUGACAGUUGUUACAUUUAAUAACUGGAAUGUUACUAAUUUGUAUUUUUUGGAAGAAAAGGAAUCUGACUAAAUAAAAAGUCUAAAACAAUUUCAAAUAAGAAAUACAGUUAAGGCAUUUGUAGUAAUUUAAAAAUUCUUAAUUAGUAGAAUUUAUCAGAAAAAUGAACCUGUAUGCUAACUGUACUUGGCUAAUAAAGGGUUUC
rnacentral:lncRNA from 10 species